UGCCCCAUGGCCCAGCUGGUUAAGGCGUCCGACUGUUAAGAUUCUUUCACAUCCAACUUAAGAGUUGAUUGGCGACGUGUUCAGCACUAUCGGGAGAUCGAGAGUUCGAUCCUCUCUGGGGCAG